rnacentral:rRNA from 1 species
AACGAACGCUGGCGGCAGGCUUAACACAUGCAAGUCGAACGAACAUAGCAAUAUGUUAGUGGCAGACGGGUGAGUAACACGUGGGAAUGUGCCCUAUGGUUUGGAAUAACUCAGGGAAACUUGAGCUAAUACCGGAUAAUCCCGAGAGGGGAAAGAUUUAUCGCCAUUGGAGCAGCCCGCGUCUGAUUAGCUAGUUGGUGAGGUAAUGGCUCACCAAGGCGACGAUCAGUAGCUGGUCUGAGAGGAUGAUCAGCCACACUGGGACUGAGACACGGCCCAGACUCCUACGGGAGGCAGCAGUGGGGAAUAUUGGACAAUGGGGGCAACCCUGAUCCAGCCAUGCCGCGUGAGUGAUGAAGGCCUUAGGGUUGUAAAACUCUUUUAUCCGGGAAGAUAAUGACUGUACCGGAAGAAUAAGCCCCGGCUAACUUCGUGCCAGCCGCCGCCGUAA